UUUCAAUUUUUCUUUCAAAACAUACAAACCAUUUCCCCUAAUAUCAUAACUUUGCCACUUAGUCCUUACGAGCUCCUUAAACCGAAUAUCUUUUUGCCAUACAUCAAGACAUCUAAACGGUUUUGGACCCCAAUCAAUAUUUACAUCCUUUAAAAUUAAAGCACAGUGAUCCGAAACCGUUCUUCCUUCCGCAUACAAUUU
rnacentral:lncRNA from 1 species